rnacentral:rRNA from 1 species
UACGGGGGGAGCAAGCGUUGUUCGGAUUUACUGGGCGUAAAGGGCGCGUAGGCGGCCAGCACAAGUCAGUUGUGAAAUCUCCGGGCUUAACUCGGAAAGGUCAACUGAUACUGUGCGACUAGAGUGCAGAAGGGGCAACUGGAAUUCUCGGUGUAGCGGUGAAAUGCGUAGAUAUCGUAAGGAAGACCAGUGGCGAAGGCGGGUCUCUGGACAGUUCCUGACGCUGAAGCACGAAGGCCAGGGGAGCAAACGGG